UACAGGGGGGGCAAGCGUUGUUCGGAAUUACUGGGCGUAAAGGGUCUGUAGGUGGCCAACUAAGUCAUCCGUGAAAUCCCUCAGCUUAACUGGGGAACUGCGUGUGAUACUGGUCGGCUUGAGUGCAGGAGAGGAACGCGGAAUUCCAGGUGUAGCGGUGAAAUGCGUAGAUAUCUGGAGGAACACCGGUGGCGAAGGCGGCGUUCUGGACUGUAACUGACACUGAGAGACGAAAGCCAGGGGAGCAAACGGG
rnacentral:rRNA from 1 species